rnacentral:misc_RNA from 1 species
UUUCCGUAGGUGAACCUGCGGAAGGAUCAUUAUUGUAUAACCGAGGUGCGAGGGCUGUCGCUGACCCGAAAGGUCGUGCACGCCCGAGUGCCCUCACACACAUCCAUCUCACCCCUAUGUGCACCACCGCGUGGGUCCCCCUUUGGCUUGUUCGGAGGGGGGCUUACGUUUUCACACAAACUUUGUAUGCAGUGUAGAAUGUAUUUUUUGUUUUUGCGAUCACGCAAUCAAUACAACUUUCAACAACGGAUCUCUUGGCUCUCGCAUUGAUGAAGAACGCAGC